rnacentral:rRNA from 1 species
GGUGUCGCUGAUGGAUGGACCCGCGGUGCAUUAGCUAGUUGGUGAGGUAACGGCUCACCAAGGCCACGAUGCAUAGCCAACCUGAGAGGGUGAUCGGCCACAUUGGGACUGAGACACGGCCCAAACUCCUACGGGAGGCAGCAGUAGGGAAUCUUCGGCAAUGGACGAAAGUCUGACCGAGCAACGCCGCGUGAGUGAAGAAGGUUUUCGGAUCGUAAAACUCUGUUGUUAGAGAAGAACAAGGAUGAGAGUAACUGUUCAUCCCUUGACGGUAUCUAACCAGAAAGCCACGGCUAACUACGUGCCAGCAGCCGCGGUAAUACGUAGGUGGCAAGCGUUGUCCGGAUUUAUUGGGCGUAAAGCGAGCGCAGGCGGUUUCUUAAGUCUGAUGUGAAAGCCCCCGGCUCAACCGGGGAGGGUCAUUGGAAACUGGGAGACUUGAGUGCAGAAGAGGAGAGUGGAAUUCCAUGUGUAGCGGUGAAAUGCGUAGAUAUAUGGAGGAACACCAGUGGCGAAAGCGGCUCUCUGGUCUGUAACUGACGCUGAGGCUCGAAAGCGUGGGGAGCAAACAGGAUUAGAUACCCUGGUAGUCCACGCCGUAAACGAUGAGUGCUAAGUGUUGGAGGGUUUCCGCCCUUCAGUGCUGCAGCUAACGCAUUAAGCACUCCGCCUGGGGAGUACGACCGCAAGGUUGAAACUCAAAGGAAUUGACGGGGGCCCGCACAAGCGGUGGAGCAUGUGGUUUAAUUCGAAGCAACGCGAAGAACCUUACCAGGUCUUGACAUCCUUUGACCACUCUUGAGAUAGAGCUUCCCCUUCGGGGGCAAAUGACAGGUGGUGCAUGGUUGUCGUCAGCUCCUGUCCUGAAAUGUUGGGUUAAUUCCCGCACCAGCGCAACCCUUAUUGUUAGUUGCCAUCAUUCAUUUGGCACUCUAGCAGACUGCCGUGACAACCGGAGAAAGGUGGGGAUGACUUCAAUCAUCAAGCCCUUAUAACUGGGCUACACCUGCUACAUGGGAAUACACCAGUUGCGAAUCCCGAGCUAACUAUCUUUAAACUUCU